AGUGAACGCUGGCGGCGUGCCUAAUACAUGCAAGUCGAACGAACGAAUAAGAGCUUGCUCUUAUAAGUUAGUGGCGCACGGGUGAGUAAUAUAUAGCUAAUCUGCCUCUUAGUAGAGGAUAACAGUCGGAAACGAUUGCUAAUACUCUAUACUUCUGCUUUACAUAAGUAAAGUAGAGAAAGUUUUUCGCUAAGAGAUGAGGCUAUACUGUAUCAGCUAGUUGGUAAGGUAACGGCUUACCAAGGCUAUGACGCAUAACUGGUCUGAGAGGAUGAUCAGUCACAUUGGACCUGAGACACGGUCCAAACUCCUACGGGAGGCAGCAGUAGGGUAUAUUGCGCAAUGGGCGAAACCCUGACGCAGCAACGCCGCGUGGAGGAUGACACUUUUCGGAGCGUAAACUCCUUUUAUCGGGAAAGAAUAAUGACGGUACCCGAUGAAUAAGCACCGGCUAACUCCGUG
rnacentral:rRNA from 1 species